AAAGAAUCCUCAAAACCUGUUGCUCACUAUUAAAAUCAAGAAAAAAGCACAUGCUUGCUAUGAAAGUUUCAUGCAUAUGCUAUGUAUAAUCAUGAGUGGUGAAAUCAAUUCUUGUAUUAGGGAUCUGGAGACAAGUAAUGGAGUUUGAUCAUUGAAAAGAAAAGGAAGAAUUAAGAAAGUUUUGUUUCCUUAGUAAAUCAAUAUUUU
rnacentral:misc_RNA from 1 species